rnacentral:misc_RNA from 1 species
ACUUGUUCAUUGCUCUGAACUGUUUCAUCCUAAUGAGCACAGCGCUAUCAAUGGGCUUGGUAGAGGCCUCGCCCUCAAUCUUCAACCAAGGAUGUUCAAGUGCUUCGGCAGCGGUGAUCCGCUUCUUGGGGUCCCUUGUUAACAUUUUAGAGACAAGAUCCUUGGCAGAAGGGGAUAUGGAAGGCCAUGGAGCAUCUUCCAUUUGUAGGUUGCCUUUCUGAACUGCUUUUAUUAUUUCGUCCUCGGUCUUUCCCCAAAAGGGAGGCUCUCCGCACAAGAUAAUAUAGAG